rnacentral:rRNA from 1 species
GCCUCUGGCUAUAGGAAAUUGUUAGUGGCAGACGGGUGAGUAAUGCGUAGGAAUCUACCUAGUAGUACGGAAUAGCCAUUAGAAAUGGUGGGUAAUACUGUAUAAUCCCCGAGGGGGAAAGAUUUAUCGCUAUUAGAUGAGCCUACGUUAGAUUAGCUAGUUGGUGAGGUAAUGGCUUACCAAGGCUAUGAUCUAUAGCUGGUCUGAGAGGACGAUCAGCCACACUGGAACUGAGAUACGGUCCAGACUCCUACGGGAGGCAGCAGUGGGGAAUAUUGGACAAUGGGCGAAAGCCUGAUCCAGCUAUGCCGCGUGAGUGAAGAAGGCCUUCGGGUUGUAAAACUCUUUCAAUAGGGAAGAUAAUGACGGUACCUAUAAA